rnacentral:rRNA from 1 species
GACGAACGCUGGCGGCGUGCUUAACACAUGCAAGUCGAACGGAAAGGCCCUGCUUUUGUGGGGUGCUCGAGUGGCGAACGGGUGAGUAACACGUGAGUAACCUGCCCUUGACUUUGGGAUAACUUCAGGAAACUGGGGCUAAUACCGGAUAGGAGCUCCUGCCGCAUGGUGGGGGUUGGAAAGUUUCGGCGGUUGGGGAUGGACUCGCGGCUUAUCAGCUUGUUGGUGGGGUAGUGGCUUACCAAGGCUUUGACGGGUAGCCGGCCUGAGAGGGUGACCGGCCACAUUGGGACUGAGAUACGGCCCAGACUCCUACGGGAGGCAGCAGUGGGGAAUAUUGUACAAUGGGCGGAAGCCUGAUGCAGCAACGCCGCGUGCGGGAUGACGGCCUUCGGGUUGUAAACCGCUUUCGCCUGUGACGAAGCGUGAGUGACGGUAAUGGGUAAAGAAGCACCGGCUAACUACGUG